CUCUUGUUCUUUACUGUGCUGUUAGAAAAUUAAUUUGUUCAGUUCACUUUCUUUGAUGUUCUUAUACAAAAUUACCGACUGUUUAAUAGAGUUCAUUUUUUUAGUGUGCUAAUAUAAAGGCAUAUUCCUGAGUUGUCAUCUUAGAUUCCAGACGUAUGGCAUAACUGGAAAAUGUCCAUAAGCCAAAUCAUUGUCAUUUUUUUUACUUAUAAUACAUAUAAUGCAUUAUAUAUAUAUAUAUAUAUACGUAUGUUGUCAUUUACGUACAUAAUUAACUUAGAUGAAGCAUUUAUAAUUAAAAUUAAUAUUGUAGACUUUAUUUUGAAAAAACAAGAAUUUUUUUUUUUUUUUCAAAAAUUUGCUACUGAAGAGCAAAUUAAACACUGAAACUUUGGGGAAUGAUGGCAGUUCAAAAUGUACGUAAAUCGGGGUAUGACUGUACAGCUUCUUUGUAUCAGUACUAUAUUUCACGUUUUUGAUUAACAUACAAAAUUAUUGACUUUAUUCAGUAAUACAUUUUCUUUGUUAUGCUGAUUGAAAAUUACUGAUUGUUCAUUUGCUCACUUUCUUUUGUGUGCUCAUUCAAAAUUUCUAAAUGCCCAAUAACUCACUUUAGAUAGUAAAUGAAAGAGAAAGAGGCUCUACUCAUAGGUGUAACCCAAUAAUUAAUUUUAAUAUGUUAAUACAAUUUUCUAUCAGCACAUCAAAGAAAUUGAAUUGGUGGAGAAAGUCGGUAAUUUUCUAUCAGUACAAACAAUUAAGCAUUUAUCUCUCUUGAGAUUCCUAGCUGCUAAGAUACUUGACUUUCAGUGUUUGUAAAUUAAAUAAAAUAAAUUUUGGGUUCACUAAGUACAACAGAGAAAGUAAAUCAGCAGUUUUAUAUCAG
rnacentral:lncRNA from 1 species